rnacentral:piRNA from 1 species
UAAGAGUAGACUUGGACCACGUAAGAUGCU